CCAUAUAGUCCCAUAGAGAUUUAUCCUCUUUUAGGCAGAUAGAGAAGAGGCUAUCCGAGGUCCUAGACUAGAUUAGAUUGUUAAUGAAAUCAACAAUGAACUACCAUCCAAGUUGCUGCAAGGAGUAGAUCGACUCUGAUUGGGGACCAAAGUACCAAAGUGUUGCCAUCUUCCUCAAGGUCACAGGAAAGGCAAGGCAAAGGAGGUUGUCUGAGGCACCUUGGAGCAUUAUGAGAGCCUUAUAGCCCUCCAGAUGAUCCAACAGAUUGACAGAGCUAUCGAAUGGCUCUACGUGUGACAUCUUGAACCGAUGUAGAAUCAAUUACUGAAGGACGGCAUGGGAGAAAGGUGUUCAAGAACUAAAGCUGAAGGCCUCGUCGUCACCCAUACCAUCCAUCUGGACCUUAGCCAGGUCGAGCUCGAUCUCCCAAAUCUUUCUUUCGAGGUCAUCAUCAUAAUGAGACCUUCCAAGGCAUGAGGAGUAGUUUGAAGUAGAGUCUUUGUCAA
rnacentral:lncRNA from 1 species